AUUGAACGCUGGCGGCAGGCCUAACACAUGCAAGUCGAGCGCGAAAGUUCUUCGGAACGAGUAGAGCGGCGGACGGGUGAGUAACGCGUGGGAAAUUGCCCAGUAGUGGGGGACAACAUUCGGAAACGGAUGCUAAUACCGCAUACGCCCUACGGGGGAAAGCAGGGGAUCUUCGGACCUUGCGCUAUUGGAUAUGCCCGCGUCGGAUUAGCUAGUUGGUGAGGUAAUGGCUCACCAAGGCAACGAUCCGUAGCUGGUCUGAGAGGAUGAUCAGCCACACUGGGACUGAGACACGGCCCAGACUCCUACGGGAGGCAGCAGUGGGGAAUAUUGGACAAUGGGCGGAAGCCUGAUCCAGCCAUGCCGCGUGUGUGAAGAAGGCCCUAGGGUUGUAAAGCACUUUCAGUAGGGAGGAAGGCCUUAAAGUUAAUACCUUUGAGGAUUGACGUUACCUACAGAAGAAGCACCGGCUAACUCCGUGCCAGCCGCCGCCGUAACAC
rnacentral:rRNA from 1 species